CCUACGGGCGGCAGCAGUGGGGAAUAUUGCACAAUGGGGGAAACUCUGAUGCAGCGACGCCGCGUGCGUGAAGAAGUAAUUCGGUAUGUAAAGCUCUAUCAGCAGGGAAGAAAAUGACGGUACCUGAGUAAGAAGCCCCGGCUAACUACGUGCCAGCAGCCGCGGUAAUACGUAGGGGGAAAGCGUUAUCCGGAUUUACUGGGUGUAAAGGGAGCGUAGACGGCAGUGCAAGUCUGGAGUGAAAGGCGGGGGCUCAACCCUCGGACUGCUCUGGAAACUGUACGGCUGGAGUGCAGGAGCGGAAAGUGGAAUUCCUGGUGUAGCGGUGAAAUGCGUAGAUAUUAGGAGGAACACCAGUGGCGAAGGCGGCUUACUGGACUGUAACUGACGUUGAGGCUCGAAAGCGUGGGGAGCAAACAGGAUUAGAUACCCGAGUAGUC
rnacentral:rRNA from 1 species